GCCUUACAUUACAUUUAAUGCAAUUACUAAUAUAUUUGAAUUUAAAUCUAUUAUUUUUGUACCUGCUUUGUGUUCUGCGUUUUUUUGUUUGUUUGUUUGUUUUUUGGGUUUUUUUUGCCUUUUCAAUGAUUCCUUUUUUCCUCUUUCUGGCCUACAUUUGGACUGCUGGAGUAAUUUCUAUUCUUCUUAGUUCAUUUCUUUCCCACAAGUUUAGAAGUUUUGCACUCUAUUGCUAAGUUUAUUAGUUAUUCUUUAAAAAAUAUAUAAUACACAGUUAAUAAAGUCUAAAGUUAGUGACCUUUUAAAGCUUCUCCAAUAUAAGAUAGGACAUUAGAACCCUUUACUCAAUUUGCACAUUCCAAUAUAUUACUAUUUUCUUAUUUUACAUGUGUCUUAUACUUAAGCCUGUGAAACCCUGUCUCUACUAAAAAUACAAAAUUAGCUGGGCGUGGUGGCACAUGCCUGUAAUCCCAGCUACUUGGGAGGCUGAGGCGGGAGAAUCGCUUGAACCUGAGAGGCGGAGGUUGCAGUGAGCCAAGAUCAUGCCACUGCAUUCCAGCUUGGGUGACAGAGUGAGACUCCAUCUCAAAAAAAAAAAGAAGAAGAAGAAUGAGGAGGAGGAGAAGAGGAAGAAGAAGAACGAGCAGGAGGAGGAAGAGAAGAAGUAGUUUUGAAUAUAUAUAUAUAUAUUUGGAUUAUAGAUAUAGAUGUAUAUAAUUUUUUUUGAGAUGAUGUCUCACCAUGUUGUCUAGGCUGGUCUCGAACUUCUGGCCUCAAGUGAUCCGCCCACUUUGGCUCCCCAAAAUGCUGGGAUUACAGGCGUGAGCCACUGUGCCCAGCCUCUGGGUAUAUUUUGAAUGUAGAACUGAGAGGAUUUCUGACUGGAUGCAGGGUGUAAGAGAAGGAAGAGUGAUAAAAAAGACUCCAAGACCCUUGGUCUGAGCAGCUGGAAAAUGGAGUUAACAUUUACUGAGAUGAGGAAGAAUGUAGGAGGAGCAGGCUUGGAGUGGGCGUCCAGAGUAAGGUUUGGACACGAUGAAUUUGAGACGCAGAGUACAUAUCCAAACCGGCAAUUAAAUGUAUGGAU
rnacentral:lncRNA from 1 species